rnacentral:rRNA from 1 species
UACGUAGGGUGCGAGCGUUAAUCGGAAUACUGGGCGUAAAGCGUGCGCAGGCGGUUCGUUGUGUCCGUCGUGAAAGCCCCGGGCUUAACCUGGGAACUGCGAUGGAAACUAGCGAGCUGGAGUGUGGCAGGAGGGGGGGUGGAAUUCCGCGUGUAGCAGUGAAAUGCGUAGAGAUGCGGAGGAACACCGAUGGCGAAGGCAGCCCCCCCUGGGCUAACACUGACGCUCAUGCACGAAAGCGUGGGGAGCAAACAGG